rnacentral:rRNA from 1 species
GUGGGGAAUAUUGGACAAUGGGCGAAAGCCUGAUCCAGCCAUGCCGCGUGUGUGAAGAAGGUCUUCGGAUUGUAAAGCACUUUAAGUUGGGAGGAAGGGCAGUAAGUUAAUACCUUGCUGUUUUGACGUUACCAGCAGAAUAAGCACCGGCUAACUUCGUGCCAGCAGCCGCGGUAAUACGAAGGGUGCAAGCGUUAAUCGGAAUUACUGGGCGUAAAGCGCGCGUAGGUGGUUUUGUAAGUUGGAGGUGAAAUCCCCGGGCUCAACCUGGGAACUGCCUCCAAAACUGCAUGACUAGAGUACGGUAGAGGGUAGUGGAAUUUCCUGUGUAGCGGUGAAAUGCGUAGAUAUAGGAAGGAACACCAGUGGCGAAGGCGACUACCUGGACUGAUACUGACACUGAGGUGCGAAAGCGUGGGGAGCAAACAGGAUUAGAUACCCGAGUAGUCC